CUGCUAUUCUGUCUCUCAACCUGCCUAAUUUGCUGGGAGCUGACAUUCUAACGGCAAGCCACUCUCCUACAUUGGAAUAAAAUGUUUGUAAGCAGGAGAUUUUCCAAGCAUCCAAAGACACAUUUGACAAGUGCAAUAUACACAUCUCAGAAUGUUCCGAUUCUCAACAAGCGACCUUGGGCUGUCGCCCCUAAGCAGCUG